AUCUUCCUUCAAUGGCCUACAAACCUUAGCCCCCUCUUCGUUCAUCUUCUUCCCCUUGAUGGUUAUAAGUCUAUAAAAGUAAGGAGGAGGAGGAGAUUUCGGUGGUGGUCUCCACCUUCCGACCUAUAAAGAGACGAUGUGGAUAACCCGUUGAUUGUUCCCCUUCAGAAGGUGUGUAUAGAGCCUAAGAGAGUAGUGGGAGGUUCCACACUAAACACUGAGACAUCAUGGGCACCACAUAGGGAUCUCAGAGGCUAACGCCAAGGAGGGCAACUAUUUUGUUACACUAAAGACAAAACAACUUUGGCGGUUCCUAACUUAGUCUUUGCCACGGCUAAGUUUGGGGAUAAUUUUGUUGGCUAGCCCAAAGGUUAAAUUUUCUACACAUGCCUUGAACUUUAUUUGCUAUAUAUGUAUAUAGUUUUAGAGCUUUAUAUUUCUUACCGUGAAUUCAUGUUAUGUUUCAUUUUGAGAUUGUAUCAACUAGUUUAUAUUUGAGCUAUGGUUCGCAUGACGAUAUUGAAAAAUGUUGCAAAGUGUGU